rnacentral:rRNA from 1 species
CAAUAGCGUAUAUUUAAGUUGUUGCAGUUAAAAAGCUCGUAGUUGGAUUUCGGAUGGGAUUUGCCGGUCCGUCGUUACGAUGUGCACUGGCCAGUCCUAUCUUGUUGUCGGGGACUAGCUCCUUGGAUUCACUUCCUGGGACUAGGAGCUGACGAGGUUACUUUGAGUAAAUUAGAGUGUUCAAAGCAGGCCUACGCUCUGAAUACAUUAGCAUGGAAUAACACGAUAGGACUCUGGCCUAUCUUGUUGGUCUGUAGGACCGGAGUAAUGAUUAAGAGGGACAGUCGGGGGCAUUCGUAUUUCAUUGUCAGAGGUGAAAUUCUUGGAUUUACGGAAGACGAACUACUGCGAAAGCAUUUGCCAAGGAUGUUUUCAUUAA